CGCAGCCGCGGUAAUUCCAGCUCCAAUAGCGUAUAUUAAAGUUGUUGCAGUUAAAAAGCUCGUAGUUGAAUUUCGGAAUCAGUACGCUGGUCGUGCCUUCGGUAUGUACUGGUGUCACUGGUUUCUCCCUUCUGAAGAACCAUCAUGCCAUUCACUUGGUGUGGUGGGAAAUCAGGACUGUUACUUUGAAAAAUUAGAGUGUUUAAAGCAGGCUCGCGCUUGAAUACAUUAGCAUGGAAUAAUGAAAUAGGACGUUAAUCCUAUUUUGUUGGUUUCUAGGAUCGACGUAAUGAUUAAUAGGGAUAGUUGGGGGCAUUAGUAUUCAAUUGUCAGAGGUGAAAUUCUUGGAUUUAUUGAAGACUAACUACUGCGAAAGCAUUUGCCAAGGAUGUUUUCAUUAAUCAAGAACGAAAGUUAGGGGAUCGAAGACGAUCAGAUACCGUCGUAGUCUUAACCAUAAACUAUGCCGACUAGGGAUCGG
rnacentral:sRNA from 1 species